AAAAUAUAUCUGGGGUGCCUAGCGGCUGAGAUAAAACCCAUUGAACCUGAUUCGGUUAGUACCGACGAAGGGAGAUACGUAAGUGUGGUU
rnacentral:ncRNA from 2 species